rnacentral:rRNA from 1 species
UGAGGAAUCUUGCGCAAUGGGGGAAACCCUGACGCAGCAACGCCGCGUGAGUGAGGAAGGUCUUCGGGUCGUAAAGCUCUGUCAGGCGGGAAGAAAUGCAUGGAGGUGAACAGCCGCCAUGCUUGACGGUACCGCCAGAGGAAGCACCGGCUAACUCCGUGCCAGCAGCCGCGGUAAUACGGGGGGUGCAAGCGUUGUUCGGAAUCAUUGGGCGUAAAGAGCGUGUAGGCGGCUUGGUAAGUCAGAUGUGAAAGCCCUGGGCUCAACCCGGGAAGUGCAUUUGAAACUGCCAGGCUCGAGUAGGGGAGAGGGAAGUGGAAUUCCUGGUGUAGAGGUGAAAUUCGUAGAUAUCAGGAGGAACACCGGUGGCGAAGGCGACUUCCUGGCCCUAUACUGACGCUGAGACGCGAGAGCGUGGGUAGCAAACAG